rnacentral:lncRNA from 1 species
UUGCACUGUUCAUCUACAUAGGUAGACCUCUCAGAUGUAAGCCUUUCUGACAUCUCAUCAACCUCUUCCUUCAAACCAAGAAGCAGUUGCCUCUGGCAGUCCAUGGCUGCCUUCCCCUUCAAAUGAUCAGCCAAAGCUUUCUCCUCAACACUUUUCUCAAAUUCCAAAUCACGUAAUGCAGCAAUAUAAAGAUUUUGAAUCUCCAGUCCACGGGCUCUUUCUUCUUUCAUCUUCUCAUCCCAAAACCUCUCUAUAUCUCCUUUGUCAAGCACCUCAGACCUUAUUUCCUUCAUUGCAACUUGUCUUGAAGAAUUCUCGGCUUCCAAUCUUAAUAUUUCAUUAUUAACUGUUUCCGUCAUCCUGCCACUUGUCAAUGCCACUGCUGCUUGAGCUUUUGUCAAAGGUUUAUUGGGUUGAAACCGCCUGCUCUGUCCUGUAGAAAUUGAACAUGAAAGCACAAUCUUCAUGGACUUACUGGCAUGAAAACAAAAUUGCUCUGAAAUUGCACUACUCCAUCUUUUAAGAGAAUACCACAAGUCUAUAAGUUUUAAAGAAUGAUAAAAUGAAUAUCCAUCCAUGUGCACUAAACAAUCCACAGGUUGAUUCAUCUGCAAUCUAACGGAUUUGCUAGUACGGUGAAGAUAUUAAAACUUCUUAAUCAUGAUCCUUGUUAAUCGUUUUACAGGUUUACAGUUUUCUGAAGGUACAUCCUCUCCAUUUACUUCAUAUUUCUCAAGAUGCAUGGCGCAAUGAGGUGCAAAGGACUCCUAAAGCCUGUGCACAAAGUGCAAGCACAUGCCAAUAGAGGUCGCACACAAGAAAUAAAUUGAAGCCCAAGCAACCAUAAAAGUAAGGAACUAUCAGGCGACUAUCUUUUACAAGACUAAGUACAUCAAUCUUCUUAUUC